rnacentral:rRNA from 1 species
UGAGUAAGAUAUCGGAACGGGCCCCGACCCGGGGGAUAAUGUACCGCAAGUUUCGGUAACACCGUAUACAAUCUUCCGAGGUAAGCGGGGGACUCUCACGAACCUCGCGCGAUUGUAGCGGGCGAUAUCUGAUUUUGUAUCUGGCGGGGGAAAGGCUCACCAAGCCAACGAUCUGUAGCUGGACUGGUAGGACGAUCCCCCUCACUGGGAUGGAGACACGGCCCCCACUCCCCCUUCCUGCGGUUUGGGGAAUUUUGCACAAUGGGGGAAACUCUGAUCCAAAAUGCCGCGUGAGUGAAGAACGUUUCGGGUUGUUAGCUCUUUUGGCUGGGAAGAAACGACGGCUUUCAUGCAGUACGGGAGUGCACUUUCUCGUACGAAUAACCUCCGGCUAACUACUUCCUUCAGCCGCGGUAAUACGUAGGGUGCGAGCGUUAAU